GAAAUAUCAGAGUUGUCUUCCCAUGGUAUUCGGAUUACUGGUUAGAUCGAUUUAAUUUUUGAUUUUGUUUUAUUAAUGGACAAUGGGUUAAGGUAUUUGGCAUAUCACUCAUCUGACAUGCAAGGUGGCGAUGGUCUUUACAGUCGCAUGAGUAUGAGUGGACAGCAGCUGUUUGAAGAUACAAUCGACCCUGACCUUGAACACAAGACAAGACGAGUUGCUGACAAGUUUUCAGAAAAUAUCAAUGCCAUUGCUAAUGAGCCAUCUCUAGCCUUCUUCAGAAUCCAAGAACAUGUGAGGAAAACGCUACCCCAACUUGUGGAACAGAAACAUGAGGUACAGGAGAUUCAACAGAAAGUACAGGGAGCCUGUUUUGAUACAGAGUAUGCCACAAAUGCUGUUAAGACCAUGCAUCAAAGCACAGUUCAUUUCCAAAACAUCCAGGAUCUUCUGAAGAAUGCCAUGUUCAUGAAGCAGCAGAUUGGCUACGAGGAACUACGCAGGAAACAGGAGAUGACCAACCCAAGUAUGUACACGAACUCCCCGUCCCGCGAGGCCCUGCACAAAGCCACCUCGAGUCAGCCGGCCGUGAUGUCCACAGCCAGUCAGACAGCAGCUACCACAGCAGCCGAUGUAAACAAUUCUAGUACCACUGAGAAAGCCACAACCACAACAGCGGGCAAUGUAAAGACUGCUACUGCUAAUGAAAAAGCCAUGACUACAACAGCGGCCAAUGUAAAUACUACGGUUACUACUGGAAAGGCUGUAACGACAACAGCAAGGAAUGUAAAGACUGCUACUACUUCUACUGGAAAAGCUACAACUACAACAGCAGCCAGUGUAAACACUGCUACUACAUCUGGAAAAGCUACAGCUACAACAGCGGCCAAUGUAAAGACUACUUCGACUACUGGAAAAGCUACAGCUACAACAGUGGCCAAUGUAAACACUGCUAUUACUGGAAAAGCUACAGCUACAACAGCAGCCAAUGUAAACACUACUACUACACCUGGAAAAGCUACAGCUACAACAGCGUCCAAUGUAAAGACUACUUCGACUACUGGAAAAGCUACAGCUACAACAGCGGCCAAUGUAAAGACUACUUCGACUACUGGAAAAGCUACAGCUACAGCUACAACAGCGGCCAAUGUAAAGACUACUUCGACUACUGGAAAAGCUACAGCUACAACAGCGGCCAAUGUAAAGACUACUUCAACUACUGGAAAAGCUACAGCUACAACAGCGGCCAAUGUAAACACUGCUACUACAGCUGGGAAGCAUGCAGCUACUACUGCAACUACAACUACAAUUGCAGCUACAAAAGCUACAACAUCUAAGGUUGCUGGUCAAGCUUCAGUAAAAGCUGACACCAGAAUCGUUGGCACCUGUCACAGGAGUGUUGCCAUGGUUACAGAUGAUUCUGUGACUAUGCGUGGCAGCGGCACAAACUCUUCUCGUUCAGCUGUGAUCAGUGAAAAGAAAUAAUUUUGUUUCCUCAAAAACAACCCUGUGAGAUUUCAUGCUUUGUUAGUGUUGUGAAAAACCCUUCAAGAUGUGCACAGAAUUGUUUGUGUUACAAGAGCACUAGCAGCAAGCCACCCUUCAUCCUUGUCCUCAACAGCGCCGUCUAUCCAGGCCGAUUCCGAUCUGCCUAAACCGGUGUCCUUGUCCUCAACAGUGCCAUCUAUCCAGGCCGAUUCCGA